rnacentral:lncRNA from 1 species
UUUCCAUUUGAAGCUUGCAUCAUGAAAUCAGAGGGGUUUGAAUAGGCUUACUUUUGGUGAAAAAUUUCAAAGGUGACUUAAACAUGUUUUGUACCUAAAUUUUCACAGCCAGUUUUUAUUAAUUUCCAAAUGCCAAAUGAACUUUUUCCCAACAUGACUUUUGUUCCUUAUUUCAGGAGCUUUCCAACCAUUACUCACAUGACAUUUUUUGACUUACCAUUAGGGAGUUUCGAAGAGCUCUUCAUUUAUGUUCAUUUUGGCAUUUCAUGAU